CUGCAGUCGGAGGCCCAGCUGGCCUCGGACCAGACGAUCAGAGAGCUCAUACAGAUUGUCCUCGGCCAGAACUACGACAUUAAGAUGGAAGAUAUUUCUUUAAUGGGAAAAAUGUACUGGGACAGAUCAUCUCACAUGCAAACAGAACAAGGGUUACAGAUAAGUACCGAGGAACCUCAAAUGGAUAUUUCUUUAAUGGGGAAAAUGUACGGGCACAAAUCAUCUCCAGUGCAAACAGAGCAAGGA